UCUGAUGACCCCUAUCGCAGGUAUGGGUGGAUGGGGUUGGGUGGGGAGGAGAAAUGCCUGUUCCUAACCCUCGAUGACCCCUAUCGCAGGUAUGGGUGGAUGGGGUUGGGUGGGGAGGAGAAAUGCCUGUUCCUAACCCCCGAUGACCCCUAUCGCAGGUAUGGGUGGAUGGGGUUGGGUGGGGAGGAGAAAUGCCUGUUCCUAACCCCCGAUGACCCCUAUCGCAGGUAUGGGUGGAUGGGGUUGGGUGGGGAGGAGAAAUGCCUGUUCCUAACCCCCGAUGACCCCUAUCGCAGGUAUGGGUGGAUGGGGUUGGGUGGGGAGGAGAAAUGCCUGUUCCUAACCCCCGAUGACCCCUAUCGCAGGUAUGGGUGGAUGGGGUUGGGUGGGGAGGAGAAAUGCCUGUUCCUAACCCCCGAUGACCCCUA